CAAUUAUUGUUUAAAAUUAAAACUGAUUUUAUUUGAUUUCGCUGAAGAUAUAUUAUAGGGCAUCUGCUAUUUGCCGCGGAUUUCUUUGCGAAAACAACAACUGAUUAUAAUACUAUGCGAUUGAAAACUACAGGCACAUAACAGCUGCUUUCCGUCAUUGUAAUAAAUUGAUCGAAAAUUGUAUCGAUAUUAUGUACAAAGUCCGUCCAGUGUUAAAUAUCGAAUUCAAUUUUAUUCGUGCUGAAAAUGAUUUUGCGAUAUACUUUUAGUAAAAAUAAAACGUUAUUGUUUGUUAUUUACCGGUACAGCGGACACGGCAUGUAGGUACCUAUCGAUUUUAUCGGUCGCCGCGGUACAAAAGCGCUACUGGACUGUCUCAAAUAUAAUCGGGCGAUUUGCUCUUUUGAACGUACCCAAAGUUCCUG